AACACCUAACUAAAAUCGUAAAAAAAUAUAUAUCGUUCCUGAACAAUAUCCGCCGUCGCACGCACAUUGUUUCGCCGCGGUCUCGUCCGUUACCGCCGACGACGACGUCGUUUCGUUUAGUAAAAUAAUAAUAGUGUCUACUGCUCACCGACUCCACGCACUGCAGUUAUUGUUAUUACCAUCGUCGUUACCACGCAUAAUUUGUUGUCGUUACAUUAUUGUUGUGAUAAUAAAGUGAAUAAUAUAUAACAAUAUAGUGGCGCACGCGACCGACAAACCGCGUCCGGCAGUCGACGACGCUGCAUCAUCGACAUCAGUAUCCGUUCGGUUACCGGUCUGCAUGCACGCGCUCCCGACUCGGUGACUCGCCAAUUAUUAUUAUAUAACGUGUCCGUGGCGGUUAAAUUUUUAAGACAAAAAAAAAUUCGUUCGAUUUUUUUUCCACCGAUGUCUAGCAGGACGCGUUCGCUGUAAGCCGCCGUACACGGUCGCGUUCAUCCUACUAUAAUAACGUGCGUAAUAUAUGUGCGUGUUUUUCGAAUUCGAUUUCGACUCAUUGUAGUCUUGCCGUUUUUUUUUCUAAUGUGCAGUACCAUUCAUAAUAAUAUUAAUAUUAAACUGUACUGAUCUCCGGAACACGACAACCGUAUCCCACACAUAUUAUUAUAUAUAUUUUAUUAUAAAGAUAAUAUAAAAUCGUCUCAUACAUUUUCGGACGAAACAUUUCCACCCACCAACAGACUCAGAAUGAAGUGGCUCAGGAGUGACGGAGGACCAAUGUUUUACGGUUAUAGCAACCGUACACCGGUCACAGGUGAUGUACAAAUGAUUACGACCUGUCUGAUUUUCGGUACGAUUUUCACAGCGUUUCUUAUCAUCUUCCCCGGAGUUCGUAAAGAAAGGUUCACCACCUUCACAACUGUCACCUUGAGUCUGUUCGUCGGAAACGUCAUAUUGUUGUCGAUACUGGGUUCCAGUUGGCACGUGGCUGAAACAGUGAUCACGAGCGCUUACCGAGCUCUUUCCAAAGAACUGAUUACUGCGGAACUCGGUGCUUAUGUCGGACUUGGUCAUAUCAACAUAACCCUGUGCGCAAUACCAUCCGACAACUCUUCGAUGCCAUUGGAAGAUAUCAGCUUCAACGAACGUUUUUCUUGGUUGGGAGCUCACGAAAUGGGCGAAAGCUAUCAAGCUGCCUUGUACCGAGGCAUGCCUUUCCCUAUACUAACCGUCGCUGAAUACUUUAGUUUAGGCCAAGAAGGGUUUGCUUGGGGAGGUCAAUACAGAGCUGCGGGAUACUAUGGAAGCAUAUUUUUAUGGACAGCGUUUGUAUUGUGGUUUCUGAUGAACGUGCUGCUGAUCGUCGUUCCGCGGUACGGAGCGUACACAAUGAUAGGCAUGGGAAGUUUUAUGGUCGGAGCAACAGUCGCCUAUCACUGUAUGCUUCCGUCGUCACCUCUAGUCAUACGUUUUCAGGACGACAAGUUUUUACUGUUCAGGCUGGGCUGGUGUUUCUGGCUAACACUAUUUACUGGUCUGCUGUGCAUUUCCGUUGGGUUGAUAAUCGUGGCCAUCGACUGCGUGUACCCACAUAAAUUCUCCACCAUCCUCGAAGUGGACUUCGACACGCCAUAUGACCGGCACAUCAUCAUCGAGGACAGUAUACACCGAAAGAAACGUGUCGGUAACAAGAGUCUGGAAGAACCCGAGGGCCUCGGCCGCAGGAUAUUAAGGCGACUUUCGUCCAAGAAAGAUGACGACGUCAACAACCACAUGAAACUCGCUGGUACAGACAACCGUGGUUUUGAGUUAGACCCGGCCCCACCGAAUUCCCCGUGGAGGUUUCCAUACAACAGGCCCGCAGCCCAAGGGGUGAAGUUCAAUAGGACUAUAUCACAGGACUCUAUGACUAGCCAAACGUCCAACUUGGCAGUCGCUUUCAACAACCGUGACAAGAGCAGGCUGUCUAUAUUAAAAACGUCUUUGCCACCCAUAAGGUGAUCAUAUAUGUUAAUAUAAAAUAAUACCCAAAGGUAGAGGAAAGUUGAUGGCUUAAUUCAACAUGAACCAUCGCCGGGACAAGCAAUAGUGGUUGAUAGAGCCAAAGAAGUAUCCAUGUGGUGAAACUUCAUAAAAUAAUAUAAUUUUAAAUGUGCCAAGCAAAACGAUUUGUGAAAAUUUUUUUGAAGUCUGAUCGUAUAGACAUAUAGAUAUAUACAUAUUAUGUAUCAUAUUAUAUAUAUUACAAAAUGACAGUCAUAUAAAAUUAUAAUUAGUUUCUAUCAUAUUUAUAUGUUGGAUUUUAUUAAGUGAAACCUAAUAAAACGAAAAGCUUAAAAUUCUAGAUGUCAAACUUUGAUUAACUUAAUUUACAAUCAAGAGUCCAUUAUUAUUUAUACUACAAUGAUCAAAAAUAUGUAAAAAUAGGGUUAAGAGUAUAUCAAGGAGAUGUGAAUAUAAUUAUUGUAAUGUUACCUAUAUUUAUUUAUUAAUUAAUAUUAUUAUAAAUUAAAUGUUUAUAAAUAUUUAAUUAAGCUAAUUUUUAAAUCAAAAACUUUUUUAUUGUAUAAAUUAUUAUUUUUUGACAAAUAUAUGUAUUUUUAUUUAUUUUAUAUUUGGUUAUAAACAUAUUGUAAUUAUUCCCUUUUGCAUAUUAUUUAACAAAUUUGCUGAAAAAUAAAAAUCAAAUUGUGCGAGAAACAGCAGUGGCUGCUUUGAGGAGGACAAGGUACAUACUCCUUCUCCAGGCCUGUAGUUUUCUAAAAAAAAUGUACUAAUUAGAGAAAAAAUGUUUACAAUAAACAUUAUAAAUAUUAAAUUGUAUAAUGUUAGAUAAUAGUUUGUAUUUAUUAUUUAUUAAUAUGUACCGAAAUAAACGAGGCGAUAUGUUUAAAAUUCUAUAAA